rnacentral:rRNA from 1 species
CCGGGUGAGUAACACGUAUCCAACCUGCCGUCUACUCUUGGACAGCCUUCUGAAAGGAAGAUUAAUACAAGAUGGCAUCAUGAGUCCGCAUGUUCACAUGAUUAAAGGUGUUCCGGUAGACGAUGGGGAUGCGUUCCAUUAGAUAGUAGGCGGGGUAACGGCCCACCUAGUCUUCGAUGGAUAGGGGUUCUGAGAGGAAGGUCCCCCACAUUGGAACUGAGACACGGUCCAA